rnacentral:rRNA from 1 species
AGCGAACGCUGGCGGCAGGCCUAACACAUGCAAGUCGAACGGAUCCUUCGGGAUUAGUGGCGGACGGGUGAGUAACACGUGGGAACGUGCCCUUUGGUUCGGAACAACUCAGGGGAAACUUGAGCUAAUACCGGAUGUGCCCUUCGGGGAAAGAUUUAUCGCCAUUGGAGCGGCCCGCGUCUGAUUAGCUAGUUGGUGAGGUAAAGGCUCACCAAGGCGACGAUCAGUAGCUGGUCUGAGAGGAUGAUCAGCCACAUUGGGACUGAGACACGGCCCAAACUCCUACGGGAGGCAGCAGUGGGGAAUCUCGCGCAAUGGGCAAAGCCUGACGCAGCCAUGCCGCGUGAAUGAUGAAGGUCUUAGGAUUGUAAAAUCUUUCACCGGGGACGAUAAUGACGGUACCCGGAGAAGAAGCCCCGGCU